rnacentral:other from 1 species
AAAUGCCUGCGGUAUUCGUGAUAUUAUUAUUUUUCUGAACUAAUUAAGAUUCGGAAGUCGAGCCAUUUGCAGCGCACCAGCCGGACAUGAUCCGGAUCUGCAAAGCAAACAAGGUAGACAUCCACUAUUGAUAGUGGUUCGAGAAAACUAUAGUACACGGUAUCGCGGGUUUAUA